GUCGCAAACGGUCACACGACCAAUAAAGCGACUUCCCCCCAGUUAAUGGCCACAACCAAAGUGUUGAAUAUUAUGGCGGUUGAACUUGACAUUCGAAUAUAUUUCUGUCGGUGACCAUCAGGUGGAAUACAUCGAGUUACCACCCUACUCUUUGACGAACAGUGUAUUGGUGACACGUGCAUAGAUUAUGGCUCUCCUUUACACGGGACUAACAUUUCCAAUGGAUGGAGUGUUUUCCAACUGUAGUCACACCUGCACGAAACCCAGCAGUGAGAUUCGCUACUGACCGGUCAACAUGCCAAUGCCAGCUAUAGUCACUCCGGCAACAUAUCUUGCAAGGAAGGACCAUACACUGAAAUUUGCUUUGCCAAAAUCGUCAAUUGAUUCCUACAAAUACUCCUUCCCAAAGACAAUCCAAAUAUCGAACCACCUGCCUGGCGAAGUUGUAUACACAACAGGUCUACCAGCAUUUAAAGAGGCUGCGCUUCCCAUUAUUAGAAAUCUGCAGCCUCCAACCGGAUCUCUUGUUCUUUUAGAUGUAUCCAUGUUUUUACUUGCACAACGCACUCUCCUUUUAUUGUAAAAUAGAGAUCUUCACUAUGACACCAAUCUUUUACGACAUAUUGCAAAGUUCAUUCCAGUUUAGCUUUUUGGAGCUGCAAGAGGAAUGAUCUCAUCAAGUAUCAAGUAUUUCGGGAAGUAAUGAUGGCUCACGUUUGUUGAAAUUCGUAGCGAGUGAAAUAUAAUUCGAAUGGGAUUCUCGCAAAGUAAACUCUUUGAAUACAUAAUGUAAAAAAAAGUGUAUGAAAAUAUCUGAUCAUCCUCAUCAGAGUGUGUGAUUUCAAUAUUCCACUCGCUAUUUGGAAGUCGAUUUUUAUGUAAAAGACCAGGGAUAUCAAAGUGUCAAAAACACAUUAAAAAAUCCGAACAAAAAUAUAUAUGUAUUGUUAGCUGCAGACUCAGAGGUACUCUAGAAUGUCACUCAGGCUACAGUCACAUCAAUGAAACCGGCACCAGACAAAUCAAAGCUAUUACGUUAUUUUGAAUGAAAUAUCCUUGUUUGCUUUGGGGUCGGUUUCAUGUACCUGAAUAUGUUUGAUGAUAAUUAUCUUGACAGACACAGUACUCCUUUUAGCAACAAAGAUGACAGUAAAGCAAUUUACAUGACCUUUUAACACUGCCCUUUAGUACAGACGAGUACAGAUCGCUAUAACAAUAUCUGAUUAUGACAAUAUUUGCUCAAGAUAAUCCACCUAUGUAAUUUAAAGCCGGAGAAGGGGCAUUUUCGCCCACAUCAUAUUCAACAGAGCCAGCAUUAUACGUGACCAGCCAACCCAAAACAAAGUUUCUCAGUAAAUAACCAAUUAAAUAAUUUGUCUUUACAGAGUAAUAAUGAGAAAAUUAGCUCUGAAAGCUAGUUUUCUUCUUCAUAGUUACUGCCAAAAUUUGUAGGUGUAAAGUUCUAUAAAAGACAAGUUAUUCUGGACAGUGUUUACACAGUGUGCUCAUCUCAUGCUUGAGUGAACCCUAAAUUUCAAACCUUCUUUUCUCCUUAUUCUCUGGAACUCUCACUGAAUUUCUUCUAUAUUCAAUCAAGUAAUUGUGUUGGUAAUUGUUGAUCAAGUUUGUAUCAUUUUGAAAGCUUAUGAUGUGCUUCUUCCAGAUAUUAAAAAAUCGCACACUUCAUUUUUGGCCAAAUAUUGCUGGUUUGGGGUUGGCAGGUCAAAAAUGUUAAUCAACAUGUCCCAAUAUUUUUUUGUUUUUCUGUUAUUCUCGUUCAAUUUUUUUGUAUAGCAUAAUCCUUACUUAAUGAUGUUUCUAUUAUUAAACAGCGUUGUAUAAAAUCUUAAAGAGCGUUUUUACUGUGUAUGAACCUGAAGUACAGUAUUUAAUCUCACCCUUAUAUUGUUAUUUUUAAUCUUUGUUAAUUCGUAGGUAUAUCAUUUCAUGUAUUUUUCCUUUUUCUGUUAACUUUGUAUUUGUCAGUCUUCGGACUGUUUUUACAAUGUCUUCAUAUAAUAAAGUG